GUUGCUUCUUAUGGCGAACCCCUCUUAAUCAAAAUAGGGGAUGUUCAAGUUUCCAAAGCAUCAAUCAAUGUUUAAGCCACAGUAAUGUGCACUAAUUUUUUUUUGUUUGUCCUUUGUUACCUGUUUUCUAGUACAUUC